GAUGAACGCUGGCGGCGUGCCUAAUACAUGCAAGUCGAACGAGGUGCUUUUGUAGUAAUACGAAAGUGUCCUAGUGGCGAACGGGUGAGUAACGCGUUGGUGACCUACCCCAAAGUGUGGGAUAACAGUUCGAAAGGAUUGCUAAUACCGCAUGUGGUCUUCGGAUUUAGAAACUGAUGACUAAAGGAGUAAUCCGCUUUGGGAGGGACCUGCGUCCCAUCAGCUAGUUGGUGAGGUAAUGGCUCACCAAGGCUACGACGGGUAGGGGACCUGAGAGGGUGACCCCCCCACAAUGGAACUGAAACACGGUCCAUACACCUACGGGUGGCAGCAGUAGGGAAUAUUGCACAAUGGGCGAAAGCCUGAUGCAGCAACGCCGCGUGUGCGAUGAAGGCCUUCGGGUCGUAAGGCACUUUUCUGAGGGAUGAGCAAGGACAGUACCUCAGGAAUAAGUCUCGGCUAACUACGUGCCAGCAGCCG
rnacentral:rRNA from 1 species